GAUGAACGCUGGCGGCGUGCAUAACACAUGCAAGUCGAACGGAGCGCUUAUGACGGAGACUUCGGUCAACUGAUUAGGUUGCUUAGUGGCGGACGGGUGAGUAACGCGUGAGUAACCUGCCUUUCAGAGGGGGACAACAGUUGGAAACGACUGCUAAUACCGCAUGGUACAGCAAGAAAAGGAGCAAUCCGCUGAUAGAUGAGCUUGCGGCUGAUUAGCUAGUUGGUAAGGUAAUGGCUUACCAAGGCAACGAUCGGUAGCCGAGCUGAGAGGCUCUUCGGCCACAUUGGGACUGAGAUACGGCCCAGACUCCUACGGGAGGCAGCAGUGGGGGAUAUUGGACAAUGGGGGCAACCCUUAUCCAGCGACGCCGUGUGAGGGAAGAAGGUUUUCGGAUUGUAAACCUCUGUCAGUGGGGACGAUAAUGACGGUACCCACGGAGGAAGCCACGGCUAACUACGUG
rnacentral:rRNA from 1 species